rnacentral:rRNA from 1 species
UACGGGGGGAGCAAGCGUUGUUCGGAUUUACUGGGCGUAAAGGGCGCGUAGGCGGUCGUGACAAGUCACUUGUGAAAUCCCCGGGCUUAACUCGGAACGGUCAAGUGAUACUGUCGGACUAGAGUACAGAAGGGGCAACUGGAAUUCUCGGUGUAGCGGUGAAAUGCGUAGAUAUCGAGAGGAACACCUGCGGCGAAGGCAGGUCUCUGGGCAUUAACUGACGCUGAGGAGCGAAAGCAUGGGGAGCGAACAGG